UCCCUGGUGGUCCAGUGGCUAAGACUCAGAGCUCCCAAUGCUGGGGCCCAGGUUACAUCCUUGGUCAGGGAU
rfam:Ovis aries breed Texel chromosome 13, whole genome shotgun sequence.